rnacentral:rRNA from 1 species
UGCAGCGACGCCGCGUGAGGGAUGACGGCCUUCGGGUUGUAAACCUCUUUCAGCAGGGAAGAAGCGAAAGUGACGGUACCUGCAGAAGAAGCGCCGGCUAACUACGUGCCAGCAGCCGCGGUAAUACGUAGGGCGCAAGCGUUGUCCGGAAUUAUUGGGCGUAAAGAGCUCGUAGGCGGCUUGUCACGUCGGAUGUGAAAGCCCGAGGCUUAACCUCGGGUCUGCAUUCGAUACGGGCUAGCUAGAGUGUGGUAGGGGAGAUCGGAAUUCCUGGUGUAGCGGUGAAAUGCGCAGAUAUCAGGAGGAACACCGGUGGCGAAGGCGGAUCUCUGGGCCAUUACUGACGCUGAGGAGCGAAAGCGUGGGGAGCGAACAGGAUUAGAUACCCUGGUAGUCCACGCCGUAAACGUUGGGAACUAGGUGUUGGCGACAUUCCACGUCGUCGGUGCCGCAGCUAACGCAUUAAGUUCCCCGCCUGGGGAGUACGGCCGCAAGGCUAAAACUCAAAGGAAUUGACGGGGGCCCGCACAAGCGGCGGAGCAUGUGGCUUAAUUCGACGCAACGCGAAGAACCUUACCAAGGCUUGACAUAUACCGGAAAGCAUUAGAGAUAGUGCCCCCCUUGUGGU